CAAUCGGCCCUUUUCAGGGCCAACAAUGUGCACAUUAAGGGUUAAU
rfam:Aedes aegypti strain Liverpool supercont1.214 genomic scaffold, whole genome shotgun sequence.